UAUAUAGUGCCUGAAAAAAGGAUAACUUUGAUAGAGUUAAUUAUGUGUAAUUCACCUAUAUAA
rnacentral:tRNA from 1 species